GUCCACGCCGUAAACGAUGAUUACUCGAUGUGUGCGAUAAACUGUACGUGUCUAAGCGAAAGCAAUAAGUAAUCCACCUGGGGAGUACGUUCGCAAGAAUGAAACUCAAAGGAAUUGACGGGGGCCCGCACAAGCGGAGGAACAUGUGGUUUAAUUCGAUGGUACGCGAGGAACCUUACCCGGGUUUGAACGCAGAGUGCAUGAGGUGGAAACACUUCUUUCCGCAAGGACUUUCUGCGAGGUGCUGCAUGGUUGUCGU
rnacentral:rRNA from 1 species